rnacentral:rRNA from 1 species
AGUCACUGACAUUAGACUACCCCCGUAGUCCCAGCCGUAAACAAUGUGCGUUAGGUGUGUCGGUAACCACGCGUUACUGAUGCGCCGAAGAGAAAUCGUGAAACGCACCACCUGGGAAGUACGGUCGCAAGGCUGAAACUUAAAGGAAUUGGCGGGGGAGCACCACAACAGGUGGAGCCUGCGGUUUAAUUGGAUUCAACGCCGGACAUCUCACCGGAUAAGACAGCUGAAUGAUUGUCAAUCUGAAGGUUUUACAUGACUAGCUG